AAGAAGCCAAAAGAAAGAAAGAAAGAAAGAAAAAGGGAAGGAAGGAACAAGCGUUUGCAUGCCUGUCUAUGUGU
rnacentral:ribozyme from 11 species